CGUAACAAGGUCUCCGUAGGUGAACCUGCGGAGGGAUCAUUACACAAAUAUGAAAGCGGGCUGGAACCUCUCGGGGUUACAGCCUUGCUGAAUUAUUCACCCUUGUCUUUUGCGUACUUCUUGUUUCCUUGGUGGGUUCGCCCACCACUAGGACAAACAUAAACCUUUUGUAAUUGCAAUCAGCGUCAGUAACAAAUUAAUAAUUACAACUUUCAACAACGGAUCUCUUGGUUCUGGCAUCGAUGAAGAACGCAGCGAAAUGCGAUAAGUAGUGUGAAUUGCAGAAUUCAGUGAAUCAUCGAAUCUUUGAACGCACAUUGCGCCCUUUGGUAUUCCAAAGGGCAUGCCUGUUCGAGCGUCAUUUGUACCCUCAAGCUUUGCUUGGUGUUGGGCGUCUUGUCUCUAGCUUUGCUGGAGACUCGCCUUAAAGUAAUUGGCAGCCGGCCUACUGGUUUCGGAGCGCAGCACAAGUCGCACUCUCUAUCAGCAAAGGUCUAGCAUCCAUUAAGCCUUUUUUCAACUUUUGACCUCGGAUCAGGUAGGGAUACCCGCUGAACUUA
rnacentral:rRNA from 1 species